rnacentral:rRNA from 1 species
GGGUUGUGAGGUUAAGCGACUAAGCGUACACGGUGGAUGCCUUGGCAGUCAGAGGCGAUGAAGGACGUGCUAAUCUGCGAUAAGCGUCGGUAAGGUGAUAUGAACCGUUAUAACCGGCGAUUUCCGAAUGGGGAAACCCAGUGUGAUUCGUCACACUAUCAUUAACUGAAUCCAUAGGUUAAUGAGGCGAACCGGGGGAACUGAAACAUCUAAGUACCCCGAGGAAAAGAAAUCAACCGAGAUUCCCCCAGUAGCGGCGAGCGAACGGGGAGCAGCCCAGAGCCUGAAUCAGUAUGUGUGUUAGUGGAAGCGUCUGGAAAGGCGCGCGAUACAGGGUGACAGCCCCGUACACAAAAAUGCACAUGCUGUGAGCUCGAUGAGUAGGGCGGGACACGUGGUAUCCUGUCUGAAUAUGGGGGGACCAUCCUCCAAGGCUAAAUACUCCUGACUGACCGAUAGUGAACCAGUACCGUGAGGGAAAGGCGAAAAGAACCCCGGCGAGGGGAGUGAAAAAGAACCUGAAACCGUGUACGUACAAGCAGUGGGAGCACGCUUAGGCGUGUGACUGCGUACCUUUUGUAUAAUGGGUCAGCGACUUAUAUUCUGUAGCAAGGUUAACCGAAUAGGGGAGCCGAAGGGAAACCGAGUCUUAACUGGGCGUUAAGUUGCAGGGUAUAGACCCGAAACCCGGUGAUCUAGCCAUGGGCAGGUUGAAGGUUGGGUAACACUAACUGGAGGACCGAACCGACUAAUGUUGAAAAAUUAGCGGAUGACUUGUGGCUGGGGGUGAAAGGCCAAUCAAACCGGGAGAUAGCUGGUUCUCCCCGAAAGCUAUUUAGGUAGCGCCUCGUGAAUUCAUCUCCGGGGGUAGAGCACUGUUUCGGCAAGGGGGUCAUCCCGACUUACCAACCCGAUGCAAACUGCGAAUACCGGAGAAUGUUAUCAUGGGAGACACACGGCGGGUGCUAACGUCCGUCGUGAAGAGGGAAACAACCCAGACCGCCAGCUAAGGUCCCAAAGUCAUGGUUAAGUGGGAAACGAUGUGGGAAGGCCCAGACAGCCAGGAUGUUGGCUUAGAAGCAGCCAUCAUUUAAAGAAAGCGUAAUAGCUCACUGGUCGAGUCGGCCUGCGCGGAAGAUGUAACGGGGCUAAACCAUGCACCGAAGCUGCGGCAGCGACGCUGAUGCGUUGUUGGGUAGGGGAGCGUUCUGUAAGCCUGCGAAGGUGUGCUGUGAGGCAUGCUGGAGGUAUCAGAAGUGCGAAUGCUGACAUAAGUAACGAUAAAGCGGGUGAAAAGCCCGCUCGCCGGAAGACCAAGGGUUCCUGUCCAACGUUAAUCGGGGCAGGGUGAGUCGACCCCUAAGGCGAGGCCGAAAGGCGUAGUCGAUGGGAAACAGGUUAAUAUUCCUGUACUUGGUGUUACUGCGAAGGGGGGACGGAGAAGGCUAUGUUGGCCGGGCGACGGUUGUCCCGGUUUAAG